rnacentral:rRNA from 1 species
UACAGAGGUCUCAAGCGUUGUUCGGAUUCAUUGGGCGUAAAGCGCACGUAGGCGGAUCUUUAAGUCAGGGGGUGAAAUCCCGAGGCUCAACCUCGGAACUGCCUUUGAUACUGGGGAUCUCGAGUCCGGGAGAGGUGAGUGGAACUGCGAGUGUAGAGGUGAAAUUCGUAGAUAUUCGCAAGAACACCAGUGGCGAAGGCGGCUCACUGGCCCGGAACUGACGCUGAGGUGCGAAAGCGUGGGGAGCAAACAGG